CAGUAGCCGCGGUAAUACGGAGGGUGCAAGCGUUAAUCGGAAUUACUGGGCGUAAAGCGCACGCAGGCGGUCUGACAAGUCAGAUGUGAAAUCCCCGGGCUUAACCUGGGAACUGCAUUUGAAACUGUCAGGCUGGAGUCUGGUAGAGGGGGGUGGAAUUUCAGGUGUAGCGGUGAAAUGCGUAGAGAUCUGGAGGAAUACCGGUGGCGAAGGCGGCCUCCUGGACAAAGACUGACGCUCAGGUGCGAAAGCGUGGGGAGCAAACAGGAUUAGAUACCCCUGUAGUCCCUGUCUCUUAUAC
rnacentral:rRNA from 1 species